GACGAACGCUGUCGGCGUGCUUAACACAUGCAAGUCGAACGGAAAGGCCCUGCUUUUGUGGGGUGCUCGAGUGGCGAACGGGUGAGUAACACGUGAGUGACCUGCCCUUGACUUUGGGAUAACUUCAGGGAACUGGGGCUAAUACCGGAUAGGAGCUCCUGCUGCAUGGUGGGGGUUGGAAAGUUUCGGCGGUUGGGGAUGGACUCGCGGCUUAUCAGCUUGUUGGUGGGGUAGUGGCUUACCAAGGCUUUGACGGGUAGCCGGCCUGAGAGGGUGACCGGCCACAUUGGGACUGAGAUACGGCCCAGACUCCUACGGGAGGCAGCAGUGGGGAAUAUUGCACAAUGGGCGGAAGCCUGAUGCAGCAACGCCGCGUGCGGGAUGACGGCCUUCGGGUUGUAAACCGCUUUCGCCUGUGACGAAGCGUGAGUGACGGUAAUGGGUAAAGAAGCACCGGCUAACUACGUGCCAGCAGCCGCGGUGAUACGUAGGGUGCGAGCGUUGUCCGGAUUUAUUGGGCGUAAAGGGCUCGUAGGUGGUUGAUCGCGUCGGAAGUGUAAUCUUGGGGCUUAACCCUGAGCGUGCUUUCGAUACGGGUUGACUUGAGGAAGGUAGGGGAGAAUGGAAUUCCUGGUGGAGCGGUGGAAUGCGCAGAUAUCAGGAGGAACACCAGUGGCGAAGGCGGUUCUCUGGGCCUUUCCUGACGCUGAGGAGCGAAAGCGUGGGGAGCGAACAGGCUUAGAUACCCUGGUAGUCCACGCUGUAAACGGUGGGUACUAGGUGUGGGGUCCAUUCCACGGGUUCCGUGCCGUAGCUAACGCUUUAAGUACCCCGCCUGGGGAGUACGGCCGCAAGGCUAAAACUCAAAGGAAUUGACGGGGCCCCGCACAAGCGGCGGAGCAUGCGGAUUAAUUCGAUGCAACGCGUAGAACCUUACCUGGGUUUGACAUGGAUCGGGAGUGCUCAGAGAUGGGUGUGCCUCUUUUGGGGUCGGUUCACAGGUGGUGCAUGGCUGUCGUCAGCUCGUGUCGUGAGAUGUUGGGUUAAGUCCCGCAACGAGCGCAACCCUUGUUCACUGUUGCCAGCACGUUAUGGUGGGGACUCAGUGGAGACCGCCGGGGUCAACUCGGAGGAAGGUGGGGAUGACGUCAAGUCAUCAUGCCCCUUAUGUCCAGGGCUUCACGCAUGCUACAAUGGCUGGUACAGAGAGUGGCGAGCCUGUGAGGGUGAGCGAAUCUCGGAAAGUCGGUCUCAGUUCGGAUUGGGGUCUGCAACUCGACCUCAUGAAGUCGGAGUCGCUAGUAAUCGCAGAUCAGCAACGCUGCGGUGAAUACGUUCCCGGGGCU
rnacentral:rRNA from 1 species